UCCAGGAGGAAAUCAGCCAAAUCAAACAGAAACUCCAGGCUGGGAAAAAAUCCCAGGAUCGGCAAAAGAAACGGCACCGGGACCGGAUGGUGGAGAGGAUCCAGUUUGUGUGCUCCCUGUGCAAGUUCCGCACCUUCUACCAGCAGGACAUGAGCUCCCACCUGGACAGCAAAUUCCACCAGGAGCAUUUCAAAUUCGUGGGCACCAAACUGCCCCAGCAGACGGCUCAGUUCCUCCAGGAAUACGUGGCCAACAAGACGCGGAAGACGGAGGAGCGGCGCCGGGGGAUCAAAGACAUCAACGCUGU